rnacentral:lncRNA from 1 species
CUCCUCCAUCCGGCGACGGAUUUUGACGUAUAAGAUGUCCUUAAUAUAAACUGUGGAAGGUGCAGCAACGAAAAGAAGAGGACUGUCACUGUAGCAGUUUUAAGUCAACGCCAAUAUUUUCCGAUUCCGGCAGUCUCCGGCCACCAAACUGGCAUCGAAGGGUUCUUGGAAUUUCUGGAAAUUUUUCACCGGCCAAAUUGGAGCUCUU